rnacentral:rRNA from 1 species
AUUGAACGCUGGCGGCAGGCCUAACACAUGCAAGUCGAGCGGAUGAAGGGAGCUUGCUCCUGGAUUCAGCGGCGGACGGGUGAGUAAUGCCUAGGAAUCUGCCUGGUAGUGGGGGAUAACGUCCGGAAACGGGCGCUAAUACCGCAUACGUCCUGAGGGAGAAAGUGGGGGAUCUUCGGACCUCACGCUAUCAGAUGAGCCUAGGUCGGAUUAGCUAGUUGGUGGGGUAGGCCUACCAAGGCGACGAUCCGUAACUGGUCUGAGAGGAUGAUCAGUCACACUGGAACUGAGACACGGUCCAGACUCCUACGGGAGGCAGCAGUGGGGAAUAUUGGACAAUGGGCGAAAGCCUGAUCCAGCCAUGCCGCGUGUGUGAAGAAGGUCUUCGGAUUGUAAAGCACUUUAAGUUGGGAGGAAGGGCAGUAAGUCAAUACCUUGCUGUUUUGACGUUACCAACAGAAUAAGCACCGGCUAACUUCGUG